rnacentral:rRNA from 1 species
AUUGAACGCUGGCGGCAGGCCUAACACAUGCAAGUCGAACGGUAGCACAGAGAGCUUGCUCUCGGGUGACGAGUGGCGGACGGGUGAGUAAUGUCUGGGAAACUGCCCGAUGGAGGGGGAUAACUACUGGAAACGGUAGCUAAUACCGCAUAACGUCGCAAGACCAAAGUGGGGGGCCUUCGGGCCUCACACCAUCGGAUGUGCCCAGAUGGGAUUAGCUAGUAGGUGGGGUAAUGGCUCACCUAGGCGACGAUCCCUAGCUGGUCUGAGAGGAUGACCAGCCACACUGGAAAUGAGACACGGUCCAGACUCCUACGGGAGGCAGCAGUGGGGAAUAUUGCACAAUGGGCGCAAGCCUGAUGCAGCCAUGCCGCGUGUAUGAAGAAGGCCUUCGGGUUGUAAAGUACUUUCAGCGGGGAGGAAGGCGGUGAAGUUAAUAGCUUCACCGAUUGACGUUACCCGCAGAAGAAGCACCGGCUAACUCCGUGCCAGCAGCCGCCGUAA